AUAUCUGACUAAGUACAUAUACUAAAAUUGGAACAAUACAGAGAAGAUUAAUAUGGAUAUGCGCGAGGGUAACACGCAAAAUUGUGAAGCUUUAGAUAGAUAG